UGUUCCAGCACAAAUGACUCUGGCCGGAAA
rnacentral:piRNA from 1 species